AGUGAACGCUGGCGGUAGGCCUAACACAUGCAAGUCGAACGGCAGCACAGUAAGAGCUUGCUCUUACGGGUGGCGAGUGGCGGACGGGUGAGGAAUACAUCGGAAUCUACUUUUUCGUGGGGGAUAAAGUAGGGAAACUUACGCUAAUACCGCAUACGACCUACGGGUGAAAGCAGGGGAUCUUCGGACCUUGCGCGAUUGAAUGAGCCGAUGUCGGAUUAGCUAGUUGGCGGGGUAAAGGCCCACCAAGGCGACGAUCCGUAGCUGGUCAGAGAGGAUGAUCAGCCACACUGGAACUGAGACACGGGCCAGAGUCCUACGGGAGGCAGCAGUGGGGAAUAGUGGACAAUGGGCGAAAGCCUGAUGCAGCAAGACCGCGUGGGUGAAGAAGGCCUUCGGGUUGUAAAGCGCUUUUGUUGGGAAAGAAAAGCAGCAGGUUAAGACCCCGCUGUUCUGACGGUACCCAAAGAAUAAGCACCGGCUAACUUCGU
rnacentral:rRNA from 1 species